rnacentral:rRNA from 1 species
CCUACGUGAGGCAACAGUGAGGAAUAUUGGUCAAUGGACGAGAGUCUGAUGGAGCAACGCCGCGUGGGUGAAGAAGGUCUUCGGAUCGUAAAACCCUGUUGUUAGAGAAGAAAGUGCGUGAGAGUAACUGUUCACGUUUCGACGGUAUCUAACCAGAAAGCCACGGCUAACUACGUGCCAGCAGCCGCGGUAAUACGUAGGUGGCAAGCGUUAUCCGGAUUUAUUGGGCGUAAAGGGAACGCAGGCGGUCUUUUAAGUCUGAUGUGAAAGCCUUCGGCUUAACCGGAGUAGUGCAUUGGAAACUGGGAGACUUGAGUGCAGAAGAGGAGAGUGGAACUCCAUGUGUAGCGGUGAAAUGCGUAGAUAUAUGGAAGAACACCAGUGGCGAAAGCGGCUCUCUGGUCUGUAACUGACGCUGAGGUUCGAAAGCGUGGGUAGCAAACAGGAUUAGAUACCCUUGUAGUC